UACAGAGGGGGCAAGCGUUGUUCGGAAUUACUGGGCGUAAAGGGCGCGUAGGUGGCCUUCUAAGUUGAACGUGAAAUCCCUGGGCUCAACCCAGGAACUGCGUCCAAGACUGGGAGGCUUGAAUCCGGGAGAGGGAUGCGGAAUUCCAGGUGUAGCGGUGAAAUGCGUAGAUAUCUGGAGGAACACCGGUGGCGAAGGCGGCAUCCUGGACCGGUAUCGACACUGAGGCGCGAAAGCCAGGGGAGCAAACGGG
rnacentral:rRNA from 1 species